AAGAUCUAUACUUUCAGGGAUCAUUUCUAUAGUGCGUUACUUUGAGAAAUGUGUGUAUAAAGUGGUAGACUCUCGCUAUCCAUGAUGACGAUUUCAAGAUAUUCCCAUUCAGAGCAUGAAUCUGGUGGCUAGAAAUGACCUUGCUCAUUUUUCUUCCACCUUUGAUGACUGUUCCUUGUUCUUCAAUGAAUGUGGAUGAAGGGAAUAUGUUCUGAGUGGAU
ensembl:snoRNA